rnacentral:lncRNA from 1 species
GAAGUGAUCAUAAAUACAUUCUACAUUGCAAACACCUAGAGCACAGAGGCUAAAGGAGCAACAUCAUUAGGACUGUACUGAUCAUUACACCUGCAUUGUUCUGCAGGAGUACUAAUUCACGACAUCUAUAUUGAGUAGCCCUUUUAAAAGGCUGAGAAAAAGAAAACAGUGCUUGCAAAUAGUGCCAUAUGAGACGUAUUUUAAAAUGUAGGAUGGAUUUGGAACUGCCAUAAUAAUAAGGAAGGUUCAGUGUGCCACUGAGAGUGAACAGAUAGCAGUGAGCCAAGCCCUUGGCACAUUGGAGUCAAGGGCUGCAGCCUCCUCAGCAGAGUUGCAGCAAAAUCUGGUGAGUCCAGGGUGGGAUCAGCAGGAGUGAGAUCUGAUGGACUAUUCCCAGAUGCAGAGUCAAGGGGAGUGCUUUCACUGAAGUCUCACAGUAACUCCAUAAAUGAAAAAAACAUGUGAAAGAACAGCUUGAGCUGAACUGGAGGCUGGGUGAAGGGAAUUGCUGACAAGAAGAUUUGAAGAUUGGCCCCUUGUGUUGAAUGUCACUCCUUCCCAGGUGUCUGCAGAGAGAGCUGAGGGACCCUGUGGGCAACAGGUGCUGGCUGGAGAGAUUAUUCACUUCUCCAUUCCUCUGGCACCCUCUUGUCCUGGUAUCAAGACCAACCCUUGGCUGCUGUGAACUUUUUUUGUGAAUUUUUAACUUCAUGUGACAACAAGACCAAGUGAGAUGUUGGUUUGAAUUAUCACCUCACACCUUUAUGAAGCUCACAGGAUCAGGAAAUUCCGUGAACUGAGUUCCAUUUGCAACUCUGCCAAAAAAAAUGCAGCUCAAGUUUCGUUAUAUGUGUUCACAGCCUGAUAAGUCAUUAUGGACCAGGAAUAACAUAAAAUAAAACCACAAAGUGAUAAACA